rnacentral:rRNA from 1 species
GAUGAACGCUGGCGGCGUGCUUAACACAUGCAAGUCGAACGGAAAGGCCCAAGCUUGCUUGGGUACUCGAGUGGCGAACGGGUGAGUAACACGUGGGUGAUCUGCCCUGCACUUCGGGAUAAGCCUGGGAAACUGGGUCUAAUACCGGAUAGGACGAUGGUUUGGAUGCCAUUGUGGAAAGUUUUUUCGGUGUGGGAUGAGCUCGCGGCCUAUCAGCUUGUUGGUGGGGUAAUGGCCUACCAAGGCGUCGACGGGUAGCCGGCCUGAGAGGGUGUACGGCCACAUUGGUACUGAGAUACGGCCCAGACUCCUACGGGAGGCAGCAGUGGGGAAUAUUGCACAAUGGGCGCAAGCCUGAUGCAGCGACGCCGCGUGGGGGAUGACGGCCUUCGGGUUGUAAACUCCUUUCGCUAGGGACGAAGCGUUUUUGUGACGGUACCUGGAGAAGAAGCACCGGCUAACUACGUG